CUAGCUCCUAAAUAUAGCUACCAUACUGAAACUGGGCCAAGUAGAAAGCAUCAUUUCUGUUUCAUGUAACAAAUAUGCUAGGUUCUGAAAAGAAACAUCGGACAUUUAUUUGAAGCCAAGACAAAGAGAUUUUCAGAUACCUAUAAAUGAAGUCAGUAAGCUGAAAGUAUCAGUAAGCUGAAACAUAUGAAGAUGAAAUCAAGAGUCAUGAAUUGAACAAACACACUGGAAAGCUUCAUUAACUGUUUUUCAAGCUGAUGGGGG